rfam:Actinomyces massiliensis F0489 contig00002, whole genome shotgun sequence.
GCAGCCGCCGGACGGAGCGGGCCGCGAGGGUUGGGGAACCCGAUGACCGGAUCGCUGCCGAGACGGAGUCGGGUCUUAGGGAGCCCGGCCCGGUCGCUCUGGCGAAGAAG